rnacentral:rRNA from 1 species
CCCUUAGAUGUUCUGGGCCGCACGCGUGCUACACUGACCGGUGCAACAAGUUUCUUUCCUUGGCUCGAUAGGCCUGGGUAAUCUUUGAACACCGGUCGUGAUGGGGAUAGAUCCUUGCAAUUUUUGAUCUUCAACGAGGAAUUCCUAGUAAAUGCGAGUCAUCAUCUCGCGUUGAUUACGUCCCUGCCCUUUGUACACACCGCCCGUCGCACCUACCGAUUGAAUGGUCCGGUGAAGCCUCCGGAUUGCGCGGUUUCGGCUGUCGCGAGAAGUUGGCUAAACCUUACCAUUUAGAGGAAGGUGAAGUCGUAACA